rnacentral:sRNA from 1 species
UACAACUCGUAUGACAUUAUCUGAGCCGG